CAGCCGCCGCGGGAAAACGGAGGGUGCAAGCGUUAAUCGGAAUUACUGGGCGUAAAGCGCACGCAGGCGGUCUGACAAGUCAGAUGUGAAAUCCCCGGGCUUAACCUGGGAACUGCAUUUGAAACUGUCAGGCUGGAGUCUUGUAGAGGGGGGUGGAAUUCCAGGUGUAGCGGUGAAAUGCGUAGAGAUCUGGAGGAAUACCGGUGGCGAAGGCGGCCCCCUGGACAAAGACUGACGCUCAGGUGCGAAAGCGUGGGGAGCAAACAGGAUUAGAUACCCCUGUAGUCCCUGUCUCUACACC
rnacentral:rRNA from 1 species